rnacentral:rRNA from 1 species
UACGUAGGGUGCAAGCGUUAAUCGGAAUUACUGGGCGUAAAGCGUGCGCAGGCGGUUGUGCAAGACAGAUGUGAAAUCCCCGGGCUCAACCUGGGAACUGCAUCUGUGACUGCAUCGCUGGAGUGCGGCAGAGGGGGAUGGAAUUCCGCGUGUAGCAGUGAAAUGCGUAGAUAUGCGGAGGAACACCGAUGGCGAAGGCAAUCCCCUGGGCCUGCACUGACGCUCAUGCACGAAAGCGUGGGGAGCAAACAGG